AUUGAACGCUGGCGGCAGGCUUAACACAUGCAAGUCGAGCGGAGAGAGGUAGCUUGCUACUGAUCUUAGCGGCGGACGGGUGAGUAAUGCUUAGGAAUCUGCCUAUUAGUGGGGGACAACAUUUCGAAAGGAAUGCUAAUACCGCACACGUCCUACGGGAGAAAGCAGGGGAUCUUCGGGCCUUGCGCUAAUAGAUGAGCCUAAGUCGGAUUAGCUAGUUGGUGGGGUAAAGGCCUACCAAGGCGACGAUCUGUAGCGGGUCUGAGAGGAUGAUCCGCCACACUGGGACUGAGACACGGCCCAGACUCCUACGGGAGGCAGCAGUGGGGAAUAUUGGACAAUGGGCGCAAGCCUGAUCCAGCCAUGCCGCGUGUGUGAAGAAGGCCUUAUGGUUGUAAAGCACUUUAAGCGAGGAGGAGGCUACUUUAGUUAAUACCUAGAGAUAGUGGACGUUACUCGCAGAAUAAGCACCGGCUAACUCUGUGCCAGCCGCCGCCGUAA
rnacentral:rRNA from 1 species